ACUGAGCUAAAUCCCCCGUCCCCCAAUACCAUCUUUAAACCAAACGGGAUCAGGUUCCUCACCUGUGAGAUACAGGUGCUAAAUGGUAGCUCCGAUGAUGGCUGUGAGGAUGAUAUGAGACCAUGCGUGCAGAGAGCCUGGCACACAGAGAGUAUGUGACAAAGGUUAGCUGCUCUUAUUAUUAUCCACGGUCCUCUCCUAGGGCGCUCUUCCUCAAAGUGGAACUGCUGUGUCAAAGGUUUUAUGCGCAUGGAUCUACUAUUUGUUAGACUUUUGAGAAUGUCAUUAUUCUAAGCAUGAUCCGAGUCCUGCCUCAGCGUCCUUCCUUGACACGAGUUGGGUACAAGACCACGCACUGUGCAGUUGAUGGCCACUGCUUAACGCGUGGUGGUGGACUGGGGAUGUAACACAUAGAGACAGAGUACAGACAUGACCCUCAUUCUGGGUCUCAAGAAACUGGGGGCUCCAAAGUCAUCCCCGUCCCCAGCGUGAACACAGGAUUGCAUUUCAGAUCCCAAGGAGCCCACUUCAUUGAGUAAAGACUCCUUGGGACUCUAGAGCUGCUCCUCAUGGUCCACUCACUUCAGAACAACCCGUAUAGUCACUUGUUUUCAAUCAUUCAUUCAUUCAUUCAUUCAGCUCCUUUUCAAUGAACGAAUAAUUGAAUUGAAUGCACUCCACUUAGUAUAUGCCAGGCACUGUUCUGAGCGCUGAGUGUAGAGGAGUUAACAAGACAGACAAGCAUCCUUCUCUUAGGGAGCCUGACUUUCUGUGAGGAGCACAGACAAUCAGCAAGUAAUCAUCAGGAAAGAUGAGGCAGUGAUAAUCAGCCGGAUAAAGGCCCUAGGUGGGCAUUAGCUUGGAGAAUUCAUGGGCCUAAGAGAUGCCUACCUGUCUGCAAGAGAGUGAAAGAUGGAGGUGGCUUGAGGAGAGCUUACAGAAGCAGGCAGAACUUAGGAGACAUAGAGCUGUUUGAUCCAA